rnacentral:misc_RNA from 1 species
UACGUAGGAUCCAAGCGUUAUCCGGAAUCACUGGGCGUAAAGCGUACGUAGGCGGAUAUCUAAGUGAGAUGCGAAAUCUGGUGGCUCAACCACCUAGACUGUAUUUCAUACUGGAUGUCUGGAGGACGGCAGAGGCAAGUGGAAUUGGUAGUGUAGCAGUGAAAUGCGUAGAUAUUACCAGGAACACCAAUGGCGAAGGCAGCUUGCUGGGCCGUUCCUGACGCUGAGGUACGAAAGCGUGGGGAGCGAACAGG